rnacentral:rRNA from 1 species
UGCUAUACAUGCAAGUCGAACGAACGGAGGAAGAGCUUGCUCUUCCAAWGUUAGUGGCGGACGGGUGAGUAACACGUGGGCAACCUGCCUGUAAGUUGGGGAUAACUCCGGGAAACCGGGGCUAAUACCGAAUGAUARARUGUGGCGCAUGCCACGCUUUUGAAAGAUGGUUUCGGCUAUCGCUUACAGAUGGGCCCGCGGUGCAUUAGCUAGUUGGUAGGGUAAUGGCCUACCAAGGCAACGAUGCAUAGCCGACCUGAGAGGGUGAUCGGCCACACUGGGACUGAGACACGGCCCAGACUCCUACGGGAGGCAGCAGUAGGGAAUCUUCCGCAAUGGACGAAAGUCUGACGGAGCAACGCCGCGUGUAUGAAGAAGGUUUUCGGAUCGUAAAGUACUGUUGUUAGAGAAGAACAAGGAUAAGAGUAACUGCUUGUCCCUUGACGGUAUCUAACCAGAAAGCCACGGCUAACUACGUGCCAGCAGCCGCGGUAAUACGUAGGUGGCAAGCGUUGUCCGGAUUUAUUGGGCGUAAAGCGCGCGCAGGCGGUCUUUUAAGUCUGAUGUGAAAGCCCCCGGCUUAACCGGGGAGGGUCAUUGGAAACUGGAAGACUGGAGUGCAGAGAGAGAGUGGAUUCCA